rnacentral:rRNA from 1 species
GUCGAACGAACUCUGGUAUUGAGUGUUGCUUGCAUCAUGAUUUACAUUUGAGUGAGUGGCGAACUGGUGAGUAACACGUGGGAAACCUGCCCGAAAGCGGGGGAUAACACCUGGAAACACAUGCUAAUACCGCAUAACACCUUGGACCGCAUGGCCCUAGUUUGAAACAUGGCUUCAGCUAUCACUUUUGGAUGGUCCCGCUCCGCAUUACCUAGAUGGUGGGGUGACGGCUCACCAUGACCAUGAUACCUAGCCCACCUGAGAGGGCAAUCCUCCACCUUGAGACUGAGACGCGGACCAUUCUCCUACGGGAGGCAGCCUGAUGGAAUCUUCCCCCAUGGACGAAAAUCGGAUGCAGCAUCGCCGCCUGAGUGAAUAAGGAUUACGGCUCGUAAAACUCUGUUGUUAUGUAAUAACAUAUCUGACAGAAACUGUUCCGGUAUUGACUGUAUUUAACCAGAAAGCCAUACCUAACUACCUGCCGUUAGCCGCGGUAACUGGUAGGUGGCAAGCGUUGUCCGGAUUUAUUGGGCGUAUGCGAGCGCCCGCGGUUUUUUAAGUCUGAUGUGAAAGCCUUCACUCAACCGAAGAAGUGCAUCGGAAACUGGGAAACUUGAGUGCAGAAGAGGACAGUGGAACUCCAUGUGUAGCGGUGAAAUGCGUAGAUAUAUGGAAGAACACCCUGGGCGAAAGCGGCUGUCUGGUGUGUAGCUGACACUGAGGCUCGAAAGGAUGGGUAGCACACAAGAUUAUAUACCCUGGUAGUCCAUACCGUAGACGAUGAAUGCUAACUGCUGGAGCAUUACCGCCCUUCCCUGCUGCGUAU